rnacentral:rRNA from 1 species
UACGGGGGGGGUAAGCGUUGUUCGGAAUUACUGGGCGUAAAGGGCUCGUAGGCGGCCAACUAAGUCAGACGUGAAAUCCCUCAGCUUAACUGGGGAACUGCGUCUGAUACUGGAUGGCUUGGAUUCGGGAGAGGAAUGCGGAAUUCCAGGUGUAGCGGUGAAAUGCGUAGAUAUCUGGAGGAACACCGGUGGCGAAGGCGGCUCUCUGGGACGGUACUGACGCUGAGACGCGAAAGCGUGGGGAGCGAACAGG